AUUCAGUGCAUCCCUGAUAUUAAAGUCUGUCUCGAUAUGAUUUCAAUUCAGGUGCCUCUGAUUGGUCCUCCUUCAGGUGCUUCUGAUUGGUCCUCCUUCAGGUGCUUCUGAUUGGUCCUCCUUCAGGUGCCUCUGAUUGGUCCUCCUUCAGGUGCCUCUGAUUGGUCCUCCUUCAGGUGCUUCUGAUUGGUCCUCCUUCAGGUGCUUCUGAUUGGUCCUCCUUCAGGUGCUUCUGAUUGGUCCUCCUUCAGGUGCUUCUGAUUGGUCCUCCUUCAGGUGCUUCUGAUUGGUCCUCCUUCAGGUGCUUCUGAUUGGUCCUCCUUCAGGUGCCUCUGAUUGGUCCUCCUUCAGGUGCUUCUGAUUGGUCCUCCUUCAGGUGCUUCUGAUUGGUCCUCCUUCAGGUGCCUCUGAUUGGACCUCAUUCAGGUGCCUCUGAUUGGUCCUCCUUCAGGUGCUUCUGAUUGGUCCUCCUUCAGGUGCUUCUGAUUGGUCCUCCUUCAGGUGCCUCUGAUUGGUCCUCCUUCAGGGGCCUCUGAUUGGUCCUCCUUCAGGUGCCUCUGAUUGGUCCUCCUUCAGGUGCCUCUGAUUGGUCCUCCUUCAGGUGCUUCUGAUUGGUCCUCCUUCAGGUGCCUCUGAUUGGUCCUCCUUCAGGUGCCUCUGAUUGGUCCUCCUUCAGGUGCUUCUGAUUGGUCCUCCUUCAGGGGCCUCUGAUUGGUCCUCCUUCAGGUGCCUCUGAUUGGUCCUCCUUCAGGUGCCUCUGAUUGGUCCUCCUUCAGGGGCCUCUGAUUGGUCCUCCUUCAGGGGCCUCUGAUUGGUCCUCCUUCAGGGGCCUCUGAUUGGUCCUCUGCAUGAGGACGGAGUAACGAGUCGUAUUUCCGUCGUUUUGAGUCUGAAGAGGAACCGCGACUCAGCGAAUGAUUCCUUCCGUUUACGUCACCAAACCUGCCGAGACGGAGCUCAGAUUUUAACGUUCUCUUCCUCCGUUUGUCCGUUAGUUUGGAGUUGGCACGGUAACCAUAUUGGAUGUUCAUGUUUUUCUUUAAUCUGUGAAACAGAAACGUUAUGGUAACUUCCUGUAUCACCGUGGAAACAUUUCAUAUUAAACUGCCCCCUCCCCGCCCCCCCAUCCCCCCCUCCUCUUCUUCUCGUUUUAUAGUGAAAUAAAAACGCUGUAAAGGUGAAUAAACUAUUUAUAACUACAA